rnacentral:lncRNA from 1 species
UGCAUUUCAGAUAUGGAAUCGUCAACCUGUCCUGAGGAACUAUAUAGUGAUCUAUAUCUUUUAAUUCAUCUUCAUGACAACCCUGUUAAUUGGUCAUCAGUUUCAUCCAUGAGGGAAGUGGCACCAAGAGUGUGCCCACCAUCACCUGUCGGGGAAAGGGCGUCCAGCAGGCAGCAUGGGGCACACCUCUCCCUGUGGCUCAGGUGCCUGCUGGCAGAAAGAUGUCUGCCAUUGUCCAGAUGGCCUGUCGUCUCCUUGUUUCCCUUGGGCGUCUUCUGACUGACUCUUGGCUGAGGCUGGAAGCCAUCUCCUUGUGCAGGGCUGCUGUGACCUGCUUCAGGACCGCAGUCCCCACAGCAGCGUGGUCCAGGCUCCACAGCAUCUCCAUUGCUCAGCACUUAGACACGUCCCGGUACAGUGUCUGUAAUCUCUGAGUCAAACAGGUCUUUAAACACUGUAGUCAUAUCUUACUGAUUAUUGUCUCCAAUAAACAAAUAUAAAUGUUUCUACACCCUGGUUUCAGUUGCAGCAAUUCUAUUCAAAUAGCUGGCUGUGAAAAUCGAAGACAGUUUAAGGACUGUUGCAGGCAUCCACUCAGCUCUUCAAUAAUGUGCUCCAUACCCCUAAAAGUGCCAGCGAAUCAAGGAUGAAAUGAAACAGUAAACAGAGCGAAGGCAGAUUUCACGUAUGGUGGCAGCUCUGUCAUUUCAAGCUUUAGCCAGAACGCUGGAUCAAAACGCCGAGCGUGGCGGCUGGCGCUUGCACGUCCCAGAUGAGUUGUUUUGGCUGCUGCUGACAUGGAGCAUGCUUUUCGCACCAUGUAUUCUAAGUCAAAAGGAAAAAAAAAAAUUAAUGUAAGGCAAAGGUUAUCUCAUCCCAUG